CCUACGGGCGGCAGCAGUGGGGAAUAUUGGGCAAUGGACGCAAGUCUGACCCAGCAACGCCGCGUGAAGGAAGAAGGCUUUCGGGUUGUAAACUUCUUUUCUCGGGGACGAGCCGAGUAACGUUACCUUUGAAUUAGGCCACGCCUAACUACGUGCCAGCAGCCGAGUUAAUACGUAGGUGGCAAGCGUUUUCCGGAUUUACUGGGUGUAAAGGGCGUGUAGCCGGGAAAGCAAGUCAGAUUUGAAAACCAUGGGCUCAACCCGUGGCCUGCAUUUGAAACUGUUUUCCUUGAGUACUGGAGAGGCAGACGGAAUUCCUAGUGUAGCGGUGAAAUGCGUAGAUAUUAGGAGGAACACCAGUGGCGAAGGCGGAUUGCUGGGCGUUUACUGACGCUGAGGCUCGAAAGCGUGGGUAGCAAACAGGAUUAGAUACCCCGGUAGUC
rnacentral:rRNA from 1 species